rnacentral:rRNA from 1 species
GACGAACGCUGGCGGCGCGCCUAACACAUGCAAGUCGAACGGAGCUUAAAGAGCUUGCUUUUUAAGCUUAGUGGCGAACGGGUGAGUAACGCGUGAGUAACCUGCCCUAGAGUGGGGGACAACAGUUGGAAACGACUGCUAAUACCGCAUAAGCCCACGGUACCGCAUGGCACUGAGGGAAAAGGAUUUAUUCGCUUUAGGAUGGACUCGCGUCCAAUUAGCUAGUUGGUGAGGUAACGGCCCACCAAGGCGACGAUUGGUAGCCGGACUGAGAGGUUGAACGGCCACAUUGGGACUGAGACACGGCCCAGACUCCUACGGGAGGCAGCAGUGGGGGAUAUUGCACAAUGGGGGAAACCCUGAUGCAGCGACGCCGCGUGGAGGAAGAAGGUUUUCGGAUUGUAAACUCCUGUCGUUAGGGACGAUAAUGACGGUAC